rnacentral:rRNA from 1 species
GUAGGUGGCAAGCGUUGUCCGGAAUUAUGGGCGUAAAGCGCGCGCAGGCGGGUCCUUUAAGUCUGAUGUGAAAGCCCACGGGCUCAACCGUGGAGGGUCAUUGGAAACUGGGGGACUUGAGUACAGAAGAGGAAAGCGGAAUUCCACGUGUAGCGGUGAAAUGCGUAGAGAUGUGGAGGAACACCAGUGGCGAAGGCGGCUUUCUGGUCUGUAACUGACGCUGAGGCGCGAAAGCGUGGGGAGCAAACAGGAUUAGAUACCCUGGUAGUCCACGCCGUAAACGAUGAGUGCUAAGUGUUAGGGGGUUUCCGCCCCUUAGUGCUGCAGCUAACGCAUUAAGCACUCCGCCUGGGGAGUACGGCCGCAAGGCUG